rnacentral:rRNA from 1 species
UACGGAGGGUGCGAGCGUUAUUCGGAAUUACUGGGCGUAAAGCGCGUGCAGGCGGGAGAGUGGGUCUGAUGUGAAAACCCGGGGCUUAACCCCGGAAGAGCAUUGGAAACUGCUUUUCUUGAGUUUCGGAGAGGAAGGGGGAAUUCCCGGUGUAGAGGUGAAAUUCGUAGAGAUCGGGAGGAACACCAGUGGCGAAGGCGCCCUUCUGGACGACAACUGACGCUGAGACGCGAAAGCGUGGGGAGCAAACAGG